GAAAUUGUGGGGAGGUUCUCAACUGCUGUGAAGGUUGAGGAUGAAAUCCCAUAUUGUUCUCUGUGUGAGGAUGAUAAUCACGCUGAAGCUGUUAAGUUUUACACUAUCUGUGGUGUGUUCUACUGUGAGGAAUGUCUUGCAAUUUACCAUCCAAUGAGGGGGCCUCUAAAAAGACAUCGUCUGAUUUCCUCUCUGGAGUACCUCUCCCAGGAAAUCUCACAGGGUCAAGCCAGCAGAGACCACCAAUCGACUAAGCAAGCUACAUGUACUAAACACGGUCAGCCAUUCAGCUUGUACUGUGUACCGUGCCACAUGGUGGUCUGUGUAGGGUGUGUGAUUGACCAUCCAAAACACGCUAUGCAAGAUAUAAAAUCUGCAUCUGAGAAUGACAAGUCAGAUGUUUUGACCAAGACUAGUGAACUGGAGAAAGUCCUACAAGAAACUAAACAAUCACUGUCAGGAGUUAUGAGGCUGCACAAUAAGAUACAGUAAAAACCAGGAACUUCACACUCAGGAGGUAGAAAAGGCUUAUUGUGCAGCCUUGGAAGCUUGACAAGCCUGGAGGCUACACUCUUUAGAGGGUAUAAAAACCCGUUAUUCACCGUGGAGCGUGGAGUGUAGCGCCAUAGUCAAAAAUUUCCAACUACAGGCCCAGGAAAUGGAGAGGAUGGUACAGGCUUCCAAAGAUUUAUUAGCGUCAAUGGACGUCGAGUUUUUACAGGGUUCCACGGGUUCACCAAAACAAUUGAUGAACAAUUGAAGGAGAUAAGAGCAGAUUUGGAGAAACAUGAGGUCAGCAGACAGAAGCUUCUAGAUUCUGUACAACAUGACCGUGUUGUCCCCAGACAUGUGACUGUAAAGGAAACAGUGCAAGAAAGUCAGGACUUAGAAACAGCAGUCGGAGGACAUAAUGUCACCCCUACGUGUUACAAGUAGGUUCUUAUAUGUAUAAAUGGUGUAUAGUUAGGUGUACACGACUGUGGGGUUUACACUAGUGUGUGCAUGAAAGGCACAAACAUAAAAUGAAGGCGCACAGUUGUGUGUGUGGAAAACACACGGAAGACGAUGUUAAGAAGGAAACGAUAUGAGCUGUAAUACAUCAGAGCGCGCGCAGCAAAUGGACAGUAUUCCAGGAGAAACGAAGGUGAGAAGAACGUACAAAAAGCACAAAUGGUAUGAGGUGUACGCAAGGGUGUGAACAAAACACAAACUGAUGUCAGGUUUACAGUAGGGUGUGGGCAAAAGACACAAAGUAAUGCCAGGUGUGUAGUAGUGUGUGCACAGAAGACACAUACAAAUGCAAGGCAUGCAUUAGGGUGUGCACAAAACAUAAACUUAUGACAGCCACCCAUUGAGAUGUCCACAACAGAUACAAACUAAGGUGAGGCUUGCAUUAGGGUUUUCAAAAAACUGACAAACUAAUGUGAAGCAUGCCAUAGGGUGGGCAAAACAGAUACAAACUAAUAUCAGGUACACGGAAGAGAAAACAACAAUGUGGGAUUGUGCACAGAAGCCACAGACUUAUGUAAGCCAUGCAUUAGGGUGUGCACAGAAGCCACAGACUUAUGUAAGCCAUGCAUUAGGGUGUGCACAGAAGAUAUAGACUUAUGUAAGCCAUGCAUUAGGGUGUGCACAGA